UACGUAGGGGGCAAGCGUUGUCCGGAAUCAUUGGGCGUAAAGAGCGCGUAGGCGGUCCGGUAAGUCGGUUGUGAAAACUGGGGGCUCAACCCUCAGAGGCCGACCGAUACUGUCGGGCUAGAGUCCGGAAGAGGCGAGUGGAAUUCCUGGUGUAGCGGUGAAAUGCGCAGAUAUCAGGAGGAACACCGGUGGCGAAGGCGGGUCUCUGGGCAGUAACUGACGCUGAGGAGCGAAAGCGUGGGGAGCGAACAGG
rnacentral:rRNA from 1 species